GCCUUGUUGUUGAAGGCUGGUUAAACCGUUUGGUUUUCAACCACUACGACCCGGGUUCAAUUCCCGCAUUGGACA
rnacentral:tRNA from 1 species